rfam:Echinostoma caproni strain Egypt genome assembly, scaffold: ECPE_scaffold0004255
GCAUUGCUGAUGAGACCCAAAUAGGUCGAAACAACCGUACAAUGC